AUUGAACGCUGGCGGCAUGCCUUACACAUGCAAGUCGAACGGCAGCACGGGUGCUUGCACCUGGUGGCGAGUGGCGAACGGGUGAGUAAUACAUCGGAACAUGUCCUGUAGUGGGGGAUAGCCCGGCGAAAGCCGGAUUAAUACCGCAUACGAUCUACGGAUGAAAGCGGGGGACCUUCGGGCCUCGCGCUAUAGGGUUGGCCGAUGGCUGAUUAGCUAGUUGGUGGGGUAAAGGCCUACCAAGGCGACGAUCAGUAGCUGGUCUGAGAGGACGACCAGCCACACUGGGACUGAGACACGCCCAGACUCCUACGGGAGGCAGCAGUGGGGAAUUUUGGACAAUGGGCGAAAGCCUGAUCCAGCAAUGCCGCGUGUGUGAAGAAGGCCUUCGGGUUGUAAAGCACUUUUGUCCGGAAAGAAAUCCUUGGCCCUAAUACGGUCGGGGGAUGACGGUACCGGAAGAAUAAGCACCGGCUAACUACGUG
rnacentral:rRNA from 1 species